rnacentral:rRNA from 1 species
UACGUAGGGUGCAAGCGUUUGUUCGGAAUUACUGGGCGUAAAGGGCUCGUAGGCGGCCAACUAAGUCGGAUGUGAAAUCCCCAGGCUUAACCUGGGAACUGCAUCCGAUACUGGAUGGCUUGAAUCCGGGAGAGGGAUGCAGAAUUCCAGGUGUAGCGGUGAAAUGCGUAGAUAUCUGGAGGAAUACCGGUGGCGAAGGCGGCAUCCUGGACCGGCAUUGACGCUGACGAGCGAAAGCUAGGGGAGCAAACGGG